GUCUUAUAUGGCUAACUCUGCUUUUGACGUCACUAAAAUCACCGAUAAUGAGAUAAAAAUUAAUCCAAGAUGGCGGACAGCAAAUUAUUUUAAGUCAAAAUAUUUCAAGAAAUGAUAAAGUUCUUUAAAAGUUCUUUAAAAUGAAAUAAUAAAAAUAUAUAUUGCCAUAUCCCUUUAAACAACAACUUUAUUUAGAACUUCAUAUUACAUAUUCAUUUCACACUUGAUUAGAAUUGAACAGAAAAUAAAGUCGCUGGGAACUAUGAAAGCUAAUAUAUAUAAAUAAUUACUGACGGUCAUAAUAACCUAUUGUUUUCUCUGCAUUAUAUCAGCGAAUGUUGAGAAGUUUUAGCGUUCUUCUGAAAAACGGGAGCGGUCUUUUUUUAUUGUAGGGAAAUUCCCAGGGGUAAAUGUUUAUACGGGGCUAAAAUAGCACACAGCAUUAUUAAAAAUAAUGCAGCGUGCACACAGCAUUAUUAAAAAUAAUGCAGCGUGUAUCAGUGCACACAGACAUUAUUCGCAAUCCUUCGUCAUCCUGACAAGUACACGCGAUAACGUGGACAUCUCAAGAUGAGAAGUUGACAGUGCUAAAGGCCCUUCAUACAAUAUCAUCGGGCGCCUGAAGCACUGCCAAAACGGUCACUGUGAGUCCUUUCAGCUCAACUUUAUAGAGAAAUAGUUUCGUUUGCGCUUGUGGAAUUUUAUCCUAGAUAUACGCAUGUGCAGAACACACCAUAAGUUCUAUUCUCGUGUUUAUCCAGUUUAAUACGCUCUUUGAAUUAACCUUAUCAUUAAUGAUAAUAUGUAAACUAGAACACUAUAAUUGACCUCCGCUUGUGGAGAUUUUAAUUUAGGGCCAUUAAUUAAACUGAAAUCUGUUCUAUCACGAUGCAUUACAUGCAUGUUCUCACGAAUGUCUAGUGUAACGUUGGAUAGAUUCAUUGUCAUACGGUCCCAACAAGCAGCAACGUAGUCUUCCAGCCGAAAAUAAUUACUUUUGAUUCGAGUCAGUAAUAAAUAGAUAAUUACUUCGGCCAAACGGCAUUAUUCGAUAUAUUGCAGCCAGCUUCGCCCUUCGGCCUCAGCUGGCUGCAAUAUAUCGAAUAAUGCCGUUGGCCUCAGUAAUUAUCUAUUAAUUAAUAUUAUUUAUUAUAUACACAAGGUCUGGAUAUGAGGUGUUCUGCAAUCUGAUUGGUUCUCUACUGGCAGGAUAUUAGCCUGCUAGUAUCACAUCUGCUAGUAGAAAAAAAACUGAAUUUCCGACGUUUGCGAACGAGAAAACCGCAAGUUGUUCGCUUUUUAUAGCCUUUACAGGAUUAAAACGACAAUGAAAAAACUCCCACAAAUUGUUUUGCAGGUUAGCAAAUGAAUUUUUAAAAUUUAAAAUGGUUAAAAAUAUAUAUAUAUUUGAAAAAAUAUUCGGCCGAAAUUAAAGAGCGAAGAUAAAAACAUAAACAAAAUAGAAAAUAUUCAAAAUAUCCGAAUAGCAAAGUCUGUGAAUUCAGAUCUUGCGUAUAUAAUAAAACAGUUAUUCCACUCACUCUAGUCGAAUAUGAGCGAUAGCCGAUUCGGCCUCAUCGGCUAUCAGUUCAUAUGCGACUCGAGUUCGUAGAAUAACUGUUAAAUAAUUAAUGGUUAAUUAUAGAUAUGUAUAGUUCGGAAAACGAGCAUUACGAACCAGUUAUAAAAAUUAACAAAAUGAAAAGAUGGUAUAUUUUAGUUACGGUAUAUUCGAUUUAGCUGUAGAUAAGCAGCUGAGCUUAGCAGCAUAUGUAAUACCGCCUAUUUGUCAAUACAAAUACGUAUCGCCAAGUCUUUGGUUGAGAUAGUCGAGAGCCGUGACAGGAGGAUAGUGCUCAGAACCAUCCAAACAUUCAAUAACAGUUGUAUUGUCAGGACAGACAAAGAAAACCGCAGAUUGUCUGGAACUUAAACGGAGUAUCUCAUCAUGUGGAACUACAACGCGAUGUCUCUGAAAAAAAUAGAUAUAUUAGUACCAAAAUGUAUCAAAUUAUUCAGUUGGAAUAUUAUACCUUUUAGAUUUUAAGGCUCCUUCAAACAAUGUUAGCCCAACAUCAUACAAGUGUUGGAAUAUUCGGUGAAUAACUGUUACUAUUCUUUAAAUCGUCAGGAUUAAAUCGUAAAAUCUAUCAAAAUUGAAAAUCAGCGCUUUAAAAUAUUUGCGAAAGAAAUAGUAUAAAACAUUGUUUGAAAAUUAUUGGAUGAUGUUGGGCCAACAAUGCAGCUUGGGUCCCUUUCAACCGGCCUUUAAUAACAUUAAGUAGACGUACUUAAUUUCUCGCAAUGAAAUUAAGAUAUGUCUUAUCAUUGAUACAUCAUGAAAUAUACUAGAAAAUACAUGUAUGCAGAAACCCUCGCCUUGCUGACAAAACCAUUGUAUUUUCCAAACAUGAAGUAUCCAAAGUUGUUGUCAUGGUAAUAACACGAUAAUUUUUUAAGAAUA